rnacentral:rRNA from 1 species
AAAUUGAAGAGUUUGAUCAUGGCUCAGAUUGAACGCUGGCGGCAGGCCUAACACAUGCAAGUCGAGCGGUAGCACAGAGAGCUUGCUCUCGGGUGACGAGCGGCGGACGGGUGAGUAAUGUCUGGGAAACUGCCUGAUGGAGGGGGAUAACUACUGGAAACGGUAGCUAAUACCGCAUAAUGUCGCAAGACCAAAGUGGGGGACCUUCGGGCCUCAUGCCAUCAGAUGUGCCCAGAUGGGAUUAGCUAGUAGGUGGGGUAACGGCUCACCUAGGCGACGAUCCCUAGCUGGUCUGAGAGGAUGACCAGCCACACUGGAACUGAGACACGGUCCAGACUCCUACGGGAGGCAGCAGUGGGGAAUAUUGCACAAUGGGCGCAAGCCUGAUGCAGCCAUGCCGCGUGUGUGAAGAAGGCCUUCGGGUUGUAAAGCACUUUCAGCGGGGAGGAAGGCGAUAAGGUUAAUAACCUUGUCGAUUGACGUUACCCGCAGAAGAAGCACCGGCUAACUCCGUGCCAGCAGCCGCGGUAAUACGGAGGGUGCAAGCGUUAAUCGGAAUUACUGGGCGUAAAGCGCACGCAGGCGGUCUGUCAAGUCGGAUGUGAAAUCCCCGGGCUCAACCUGGGAACUGCAUUCGAAACUGGCAGGCUAGAGUCUUGUAGAGGGGGGUAGAAUUCCAGGUGUAGCGGUGAAAUGCGUAGAGAUCUGGAGGAAUACCGGUGGCGAAGGCGGCCCCCUGGACAAAGACUGACGCUCAGGUGCGAAAGCGUGGGGAGCAAACAGGAUUAGAUACCCUGGUAGUCCACGCUGUAAACGAUGUCGAUUUGGAGGUUGUGCCCUUGAGGCGUGGCUUCCGGAGCUAACGCGUUAAAUCGACCGCCUGGGGAGUACGGCCGCAAGGUUAAAACUCAAAUGAAUUGACGGGGGCCCGCACAAGCGGUGGAGCAUGUGGUUUAAUUCGAUGCAACGCGAAGAACCUUACCUGGUCUUGACAUCCACAGAACUUUCCAGAGAUGGAUUGGUGCCUUCGGGAACUGUGAGACAGGUGCUGCAUGGCUGUCGUCAGCUCGUGUUGUGAAAUGUUGGGUUAAGUCCCGCAACGAGCGCAACCCUUAUCCUUUGUUGCCAGCGGUCCGGCCGGGAACUCAAAGGAGACUGCCAGUGAUAAACUGGAGGAAGGUGGGGAUGACGUCAAGUCAUCAUGGCCCUUACGACCAGGGCUACACACGUGCUACAAUGGCAUAUACAAAGAGAAGCGACCUCGCGAGAGCAAGCGGACCUCAUAAAGUAUGUCGUAGUCCGGAUUGGAGUCUGCAACUCGACUCCAUGAAGUCGGAAUCGCUAGUAAUCGUAGAUCAGAAUGCUACGGUGAAUACGUUCCCGGGCCUUGUACACACCGCCCGUCACACCAUGGGAGUGGGUUGCAAAAGAAGUAGGUAGCUUAACCUUCGGGAGGGCGCUUACCACUUUGUGAUUCAUGACUGGGGUGAAGUCGUAACAAGGUAACCGUAGGGGAACCUGCGGUUGGAUCACCUCCUUA